rnacentral:misc_RNA from 1 species
UCGCAGUUUGCACUGGCAGUCUCGCUAGAGUUCCCGACAUUACUCGCUGGCAACUAGCGACAGGGGUUGCGCUCGUUAUAGGACUUAACCUGACACCUCACGGCACGAGCUGACGACAACCAUGCAGCACCUUGUAAGCCGUCCGAAGAAAAGCCCGUUUCCGGGCCUGUCGGCCUACAUUUAAGCCCUGGUAAGGUUCCUCGCGUAUCAUCGAAUUAAACCACAUGCUCCACCGCUUGUGCGGGCCCCCGUCAAUUCCUUUGAGUUUCAAACUUGCGUUCGUACUCCCCAGGUGGGAUACUUAUCACUUUCGCUUAGCCACCCAGCUUGCGCCGGACAGCUAGUAUCCAUCGUUUACGGCGUGGACUAC